GAAGGUGUAGCUCAGUGGUAGACUGCUUGCCUAGUAUGCACGAUGUCCUGGGUUCAAUCCCCAGUACCGCCG
rnacentral:tRNA from 1 species